rnacentral:rRNA from 1 species
CUACGGGAGGCAGCAGUGAGGAAUAUUGGGCAAUGCCCGCAAGGGUGACCCAGCAACGCCGCGUGGAGGAUGAAUGCCGUAAGGUUGUAAACUCCUGUGAGAUGGGAUGAAAGUGCAUAAUUCGUAAGGGUUAUGCUUUGACCGUACCAUCAGAGGAAACCCCGGCUAACUACGUGCCAGCAGCCGCGGUAAUACGUAGGGGGUAAGCGUUGUCCGGAUUUACUGGGUGUAAAGGGCGCGUAGGCGGGCCCGUAAGUCAGAGGUGAAAGCCUGCAGCUUAACUGCAGAACUGCCUUUGAUACUGCGGGUCUUGAAUUCAGAAGAGAGAGAUGGAAUUCCAGGUGUAGUGGUGAAAUACGUAGAUAUCUGGAAGAACACCAGUGGCGAAGGCGAUCUCUUGGUCUGAUAUUGACGCUGAGGCGCGAAAGCGUGGGUAGCAAACAGGAUUAGAUACCCCGGUAGU